GUUUUGUCAUAUGUCUAAGGAAGAAAAUGCUGUCCUCGAGAUAGAUAGCUCUUCAGAGGAUCCAGCUUAAACUAAGUUGGCUUCUUCACCAAAUGUGAGGAGUAAAGAAGAUAUGGCCAGCCAUUCAGUAAUCCUGCUGUCCAGUCAACUGCGGAAGAGAGAUUUGCUCACCUCUACUGCUUUUAUCUGUUCUCAGUACUUGUAGAAUUUAAAUUAGUUUUAAUGUAGUGUUCCUUUUAUGAAAUUUUAGGUAAAAUUCCAAAUGUUUAGCCAAAAGCAUGUAAAUAAACUCUAUAUAACCUGGUAUUUCAUAUCUUUUAGCAUCUUCUUGGUCACAUGUCUAAUAAAAUUGAUUGUUAUUUUCAAAA